rnacentral:lncRNA from 1 species
GUUGUUUUUUUAUUUUUAUUUUUAUUUUUUUUUAUUUAAAUAUGGUAAAGAAAUACAGAAUCUGAAGGGAAAAUUACAUGCUAGGUUGAAGUAAACUAAAUUCAGCCAUGGAUGGCUAGAAACAAGUUUUCUAGAUGUUUUAAUAAUUGAAGGCUAAAUGUCCAUCCACAUUACUUUGACAUUUUCUAAAAUUUUUGAAGUGUUGCCUUGAAUGUCAUUUUUAAUACACAUUUUCCUUCAACAAAACACAGGUAGCUAGAAGAAGGGAAAAGGAAAAGAAAAAUAUCAGUUUUCAAGUCAAGUGUGCUUUAAGUUGAUGCAGAAUUUAUUGCUUUGUUGAACUUCUCAUAUUCUUAUCCCCAAAUUUCUCUUACUGUGAAAUUUCAAGAGAUUUUUUUUUUUUUUCCAGUUUUUGUUCCAGCUAGCAAUCUGAAGAUUCUGUUACUGCAAGGUCUCUGAAUAGCACCCAGAAGAUGGAAAGUAUCUGCUUUUGAGUUGAAACCGGUACAUUUUUGGAGAACAUACUGUAGUGCAGGAAGGUUGUGGAGUGCUGUUGCCUGUCUUUCUGCUGAGGAUCAGUGUAAGCUCUGGGCCCAGGAAAUAUUUUUUGAGUGAUCUCUGUGUAAGAGGGGAGGUGGAAGUUUUGGUCUGCAUCUGCAUCCUUCUGUGCUAGUUCCUGGCCAACUGCAAAGCCCUCAGCUGCUGCUGCCCUGUUUCCGCAUAUGGCACCUGUGACUGUGAGGCCAAACACCUAGGAUUUGUAAGAGGACAAGCAGAUGGAGUACUGUCCAGACUAGAGGAAGCUCUUUUGGAAGAUAGCACAGACAGACUCCUUAUUUCUGGGACUUUUAUUUACAUAUGUUUCAUAUACAUGUUUUCUAAUUACCUAGAGUCUGGGCUUACAUGUUAGAAAAGGCAUACUAUUAUGGAUAAGCUCUGCUUUGAACUUAAUAAAAAAGCUGUUAUAGUUUUAUUGAAAUACA